UACGUAGGGUGCAAGCGUUAAUCGGAAUUACUGGGCGUAAAGCGUGCGCAGGCGGCUUUGCAAGACAGAUGUGAAAUCCCCGGGCUCAACCUGGGAACUGCAUUUGUGACUGCAUCGCUGGAGUGCGGCAGAGGGGGAUGGAAUUCCGCGUGUAGCAGUGAAAUGCGUAGAUAUGCGGAGGAACACCGAUGGCGAAGGCAAUCCCCUGGGCCCGCACUGACGCUCAUGCACGAAAGCGUGGGGAGCAAACAGG
rnacentral:rRNA from 1 species